GACCCCUUAGCUCAGUGGUAGAGCGUGUGAUUCCAGCCUGAAGUUGAACCAAUGUUCUUGAAUCCACAAGGUCAAGCGUUCAACUCGCUUAGGGGUCA